AGUGGCGGACGGGUGAGUAACGCGUGAGAAUCUGCCUUGGGGUCGGGGACAACCACUGGAAACGGUGGCUAAUACCGGAUACGCCUUCGGGUAAAAGAUUUAUUGCCCUAAGAGGAGCUCGCGUCUGAUUAGCUAGUUGGUGAGGUAAGAGCUCACCAAGGCAGCGAUCAGUAGCUGGUCUGAGAGGACGAUCAGCCACACUGGGACUGAGACACGGCCCAGACUCCUACGGGAGGCAGCAGUGGGGAAUUUUCCGCAAUGGGCGAAAGCCUGACGGAGCAAGACCGCGUGAGGGAGGAAGGCUCUUGGGUUGUAAACCUCUUUUCUCAGGGAAGAAGCUCUGACGGUACCUGAGGAAUCAGCCUCGGCUAACUCCGUGCCAGCAGCCGCGGUAAUACGGAGGAGGCAAGCGUUAUCCGGAAUUAUUGGGCGUAAAGCGUCCGCAGGUGGCGAUUCAAGUCUGCUGUCAAAGCACGGGGCUUAACUCCGUAAAGGCAGUGGAAACUGAAUAGCUAGAGUGCCGUAGGGGUAGAGGCAAUUCCCGGUGUAGCGGUGAAAUGCGUAGAGAUCGGGAAGAACAUCGGUGGCGAAAGCGCUCUACUGGACGGCAACUGACACUCAGGGACGAAAGCUAGGGGAGCGAAUGGGAUUAGAUACCCC
rnacentral:rRNA from 1 species